ensembl:snRNA U6 U6 spliceosomal RNA
GUGCUUGCCUCUGUAGCACAUAUACUAAAAUUGGAAGGAUGCAGAGAAGAUUAGCAUGGCCUCUGCCCAAAAAGCUAAAAAUGAAAAUUAAAAAAAAGAAGAUCAACUA